GCCUAGUUCGCUUGGGGGGUAGCGCGUCUGCCUUGUAAGCGCGAGGUCGCGGGUUCGAUUCCCGCCCGAGGCG
rfam:Asian citrus Psyllid, Diaphorina citri - Florida Strain, whole genome shotgun sequence.